rnacentral:rRNA from 1 species
UACGGAGGGUGCAAGCGUUAUCCGGAUUCACUGGGUUUAAAGGGUGCGUAGGCGGGCAGGUAAGUCCGUGGUGAAAUCCCCGAGCUUAACUCGGGAACUGCCAUGGAUACUAUUUGUCUUGAAUAUUGUGGAGGUAAGCGGAAUAUGUCAUGUAGCGGUGAAAUGCUUAGAUAUGACAUAGAACACCAAUUGCGAAGGCAGCUUACUACACAGUUAUUGACGCUGAGGCACGAAAGCGUGGGGAUCAAAAGGG